rnacentral:tRNA from 2 species
CCUGCGCCGCAUGGCGCAUGGCGUGCUGCUGCAAACGGCGCACGGCACGGAGCAGUUCGACGCCGUGGUGCUGGCC